UAUAAAAGGACAAGUCACUUUGUCCGAAGCCUUUUUCAAUCAACAUCUCUUGAGCUGCAGUGCAAGUUGUAUUACGUAUUUACCAAAGUCAAUUUAACAGUUCCUUGGUGUAUUUUUAUUCAACCAGGGUCCUAAUAACUGGUACAUUACAUGUACAUGUUAGGGUGCGGAGCGUGACCUUACUAUCACCUUCAAGAUCCCGCAGUACUUUUCUGAGUGGACGCUGCCGGAAACGAGGCGCUCUGGCUAGGCGAUCCAAGAAAGUGCUUGACUACCGUAAAACAGGAAACACACCUGCAUACACAACCUGGCUUGGAUCCAGCAACCCCAGUUGCGGGGAAGCAAUCCAGUAAACGUUCAUCGUCAUUUUGUGAACCAAACUGGUGAUACCGUCAUUGUUUAUAAUAUUGUUAAUUUUAAUCUCACUUUAUUAAAUACUUUCUCGUGUGUCCGGUAUACUUACCGACACACAUUUAAUCAAGGAUACCUUACCACUAAAUUUAUUCUGUGUGAACAAUUAUAACCAUCGAAUCUGUAUUCCUGUGUAGUGAAUAAACUCAAGUGUAAUAUAUA